AAUCAGGCGGAGUUGGCUCCGGGACUCGCGGGGGCCCCCGGCCCUACUCGGGCGCCCGCGGAAGGUAUCUAACUCUUGACAAUUGUAUGGCCUCUCUGAGUCUUUGUACUUAAUAAGUCAAAACUUUCAACAACGGAUCUCUUGGUUCUGGCAUCGAUGAAGAACGCAGCGAAAUGCGAUAAGUAAUGUGAAUUGCAGAAUUCAGUGAAUCAUCGAAUCUUUGAACGCACAUUGCGCCCGCCAGUAUUCUGGCGGGCAUGCCUGUUCGAGCGUCAUUUCAACCAUCAAGCCCCCGGCUUGUGUUGGGGACCUGCGGCUGCCGCAGGCCCUGAAAACCAGUGGCGGGCUCGCUAGUCACUCCGAGCGUAGUAAUACAUCUCGCUCAGGGCGUGCUGCGGGUUCCGGCCGUUAAAAAGCCUUAUUUACCCAAGGUUGACCUCGGAUCAGGUAGGAAGACCCGCUGAACUUAAGCAUAUCAUA
rnacentral:rRNA from 1 species